CCUACGGGAGGCAGCAGUGAGGAAUAUUGGUCAAUGGGCGAGAGCCUGAACCAGCCAAGUCGCGUGAGGGAUGACGGUCCUAUGGAUUGUAAACCUCUUUUGUCGGGGAACAAAGGCGGCCACGUGUGGACUGCCGAGUGUACCCGAAGAAAAAGCAUCGGCUUACUCCGUGCCAGCAGCCGCGGUAAUACGGAGGAUGCCAGCGUUAUCCGGAUUUAUUGGGUUUAAAGGGAGCGUAGGCCGGAUGUCAAGUGUGCGGUGAAAUUUCAGGGGUCAACCCGGACCUAGCGGCGGGAACGGGUGUGCUUGAGUCCGCGGAAAGCAGGCGGAAUGCGUCGUGUAGCGGUGAAAUGCUUAGAUAUGACGAAG
rnacentral:rRNA from 1 species